GGAGUCCUUUGAGGUAUGGCAGGAGGAGGACAUGCGUUCGAAUUCGCGAGAAAACUUAUUUAAAAGAAAAAGAAACAAGUUUUCCGGGCCCUGCUGCAGACUUACCUCUCACACUCACUGGGAUUGGGCAGGUUAUGAAGAUGAGGGUACGAGACUUGGGUGUGAUGGCGUGCAGUGAGCCCUUUUUGUGCAACAGGUGUGUCCUCAGCCGAUGUCUCACUCACUGAAUUGUAAGAGAUAUAAGCCUGUGGGUUGGGGAAGAGUACUCUCGUUUACAGCGAAAGAACUGAGGAUCCGGCCGGACGCGGCGGCUCACGCUUGUAAUCCCAGCACUUUGGGAGGCUGAGGCGGGCAGAUCACCUGAGGUCAGGAGUUCAAGACCAGCCUGGACAACAUGGUGAAACCCCGUCUCUACUAAAAAUACAAAAAUUAGCCGGGCGUGGUGGCGGGCGCCUGUAAUCCCAGCUACUCGGGAGGCUGAGGCAGGAGAAUCGCUUGAAUCCGGGAAGCGGAGGUUGCAGUGAGCCAAGAUCGCACCACUGCACUCCAGCCUGAGCGAAAGAGCAAGACUCUGUCUCAAAAAAAAAAAAAAAAGGGGGGGCCUGCCUACGUCCUCGUCGUUAAUGUGAACGCUUCUGGCAAACUAUUACCAUAAAAUUGGGAGAUAGUAAGGAUUAAGGAAUGGAGACUUAUACACAAGUCCUGCAGAGAGAGAAGACCACGAGAAGCAAAAAGCAGCAAGAUGACUGGAAAGAUUCAGGAAUUGGGAGCAGUGAAUAACUCAAAGUGCAGUGGAGGUUGGUGCUGAACAUCAGCAUUAGCUGACAAUUUGUAAAAGAAGCAGUUCCUGGCCAGGUGCCAUGGCUCACGCCUAUAAUCUCAGCACUUUGGGAGACCAAGGAGGGUGUAUCACGAGGUCAAGAGAUCGAGACCAUCCUGGCUAACACAGUGAAACCCUGUCUCUACGAAAAAGAACACAAAAAAUUAGCCAGGUGUGGUGGCACGGGCCUGUAGUCCCAGCUAUUCGGGAGGCUGAGGCAGGAGAAUCACUUUAACCUGAGAGGCGGAGGUUGCAGUGAGCCGAGAUCGAGUCACUGCACUCCAGCCUGGGUGACAGGGCUAGAGUCCGUCUCAUAAAUAAAAUGAAAUAAUAAAAAACAGAUGUUCAAACUCACUGGUAAUCAAUGAAAUGCAAGUUAAAACAAUGAGAUACCAUUUUAUACCUCG
rnacentral:lncRNA from 10 species